GGGGCCGUAGCUCAGCUGGGAGAGCACCUGCUUUGCAAGCAAGAGCACCUGCUUUGCAAGCA
rnacentral:tRNA from 1 species